AUACGGAGGGUGCAAGCGUUGUUCGGAAUUAUUGGGCGUAGAGCGCGUGUAGGCGGUCUGUUAAGUCUGGUGUGAAAGCCCUGGGCUCAACCCAGGAAGUGCAUUGGAUACUGGCAGACUUGAGUAUAGGAGAGGAAAGCGGAAUUCCGAGUGUAGGAGUGAAAUCCGUAGAUAUUCGGAGGAACACCAGUGGCGAAGGCGGCUUUCUGGACCAAUACUGACGCUGAGACGCGAAAGCGUGGGGAGCAAACAGGAUUAGAUACCCGAGUAGUCC
rnacentral:rRNA from 1 species